GACGAACGCUGGCGGCGUGCCUAAUACAUGCAAGUCGAACGAGAGCGCCCGGUGCUUGCACUGGUCAAUCUAGUGGCGAACGGGUGAGUAACACGUGGGUAACCUGCUCAUCAGAGGGGGAUAACAUCCGGAAACGGAUGCUAAAACCGCAUAGGUCUUCGAGCCGCAUGGCUUGAAGAGGAAAAGAGGCGCAAGCUUCUGCUGAUGGAUGGACCCGCGGUGCAUUAGCUAGUUGGUGAGGUAACGGCUCACCAAGGCCGUGAUGCAUAGCCGACCUGAGAGGGUGAUCGGCCACAUUGGGACUGAGACACGGCCCAAACUCCUACGGGAGGCAGCAGUAGGGAAUCUUCCGCAAUGGACGCAAGUCUGACGGAGCAACGCCGCGUGAGUGAAGAAGGCUUUCGGAUCGUAAAACUCUGUUGUUAGAGAAGAACAAGUGCUAGAGUAACUGUUAGCGCCUUGACGGUAUCUAACCAGAAAGCCACGGCUAACUACGUG
rnacentral:rRNA from 1 species